AGCUCCAAUAGCGUAUAUUAAAGUUGUUGCAGUUAAAAAGCUCGUAGUUGGAAGGAAAAAUAAAUAGAUUAAUAAAAAGAGGUCAAAAAAGUACUAAUUUUUAUAUAAAUCCUAUAUUUAUUUUUUUAAUUGUAAAAAAAAGGAGAAAUUUUUUCUUUUUUUUUCAUUUACUUUGAGAAAAUUAGAGUGUUUAAAACAAAAUAUAUUUUUUUAUAUUUAUUGAAUACUUCAGCAUGGGAUAAUGAAAUAAGACAUUUUUAAAUGACGUUUGUUGGUAGAUAACAUUUAAGGAAUGUAAUGAUUAAAAGGAACAGGUGGGGGUAUUAGUAUUUAGCAGUAAGCGGUGAAAUGCUUGGAUUUGCGAAAGACUAACAUAUGCGAAAGCAUUUAUCAAGUAUGU
rnacentral:rRNA from 1 species